ACGUAGGGGGCAAGCGUUGUCCGGAAUUAUUGGGCGUAAAGGGCGCGCAGGCGGUCUUUUAAGUCUGAUGUGAAAGCCCGCGGCUUAACCGCGGCAGGUCAUUGGAAACUGGAGGACUUGAGUACAGAAGAGGAGAGUGGAAUUCCACGUGUAGCGGUGAAAUGCGUAGAGAUGUGGAGGAACACCAGUGGCGAAGGCGACUCUCUGGGCUGUAACUGACGCUGAGGCGCGAAAGCGUGGAUAGCGAACAG
rnacentral:rRNA from 1 species